rnacentral:misc_RNA from 1 species
AAUUACAUGACAUAUUCACACACCAAUUAUCAUUCAACUAUCUGGAACUACUAGCCAUUUCCAUAACUUAGAUUUCUUAAAAGAACUGAAAAUCUAAGUUUAGGAAACUUAUUCUAAAAUAUCUUGGAACACUUUUCUUAAGUUAUGUUCAUGUUUUAAUUAAUUAUAAGAGGCUCUAGCUCUAGAAGUAUAAUACCCUUAUUCCAUACGGAAGAUAAAGAUUCAUGCAUUCUAUAUGUAUUACAAUUUGAGUGGUCUACAACUCCUACUUUGGAGUAGUCCACAUGUACCAUGCAAAUCAUAUUUAUUUUUAUUUUUUAUAAGGAAAAUUUUUAUUAAUUAGGAAAUUUAAGAAAAACUUAGCAUGAGAACAUCCGACUAAUCCAAGCCAAUAGGCCAACCUCAGUAUACCAAAACUAGGACGCAUCAUGCUAAGUAAAAAAACUUGAAAAAGACAAAACAAAUAAUCCAAGAGCAAAAUUAAGAACAAGCCAAAAGGGUCUAAAAAAAUUGAUGCAAAUAGAUCACAAACCUGAAUAAAGCUAAAUGAAAUACAACUGAACAUAGUUGACCUACAACCUGAACAAAAUGAAAUGAAAACAGCUGCAUAAAUAUUUAAAAAUCUCAUGAAAGAUAGGACCAUUAUCAGCAAGACAGAUGCGCAUCAAAUACUAAAGAGGGAUAGAUGCACAUCAAAUACAAAAGAAGGGGAUACAAAUCAUAUUUAUUUAAAUGUUGCUUCUGCAUCUCAAUUGUUGUAUUGAAUGUUGUUAAUUAGCUAAUUUAAUUAAGCUAUACUAGACUACAUAUAUGGUAGCUUACAAGAGGAGUUAAAGGUCUGCUGAUAUAAAGAGAGAAUUUGAAGUUAAUUUGAGUAAUUUUUCAUUGGUUUUAUAAAUAAAUCAGGGCUGCUAGAGUCAAAGAGGCAAAAUGUUAAAUAUAUAAUUGUGUAUGUUCACAGAGAAAGCUUCGAGCAAUUAAUUUUGCAGAUUAGUACAACUGCUUUCAGGGUGAAUCAUAUAAUGAAUACUGAAAGAAAGUUUGAUAGUGUAUAUACCUUGAUAUUAAUUAUGGAUCCAAAGAUUGAUAAGAGUUUUGAUAAGGUCUAUCAUGUUAGUUUGUUGUUGUAGUAACCUAUCCUGAUCUCUUGUAACCACGUGAUAUAAGUAUAGUCCUACUGUAAUGCAACACCAAUGUUCAGGUUGGCUUGAUCACGUACUUGCAUACUGCAUAUUGAGCAGUUUUAGAAAGACUUAGAUUUAGCUAUUAAUUCUCUGUAGGCAGAAUACAUCAUAUUGUUCAGCUAUCAUUCUAGACACCCUUUUUCUUUUUCAUUACGAAUAUUCAUAAAUUUCCUAGAAAAUAACAUUGAAAAGCUCAUUUUUUGGAGUGAUGAUUGGCAGAAGUUACUAUCGGUGUACCCACAAUAACUGUCGAGUGAAAAAGAGAGUGGAACGAUUAUCUGAGGAUUGUCGAAUGGUGAUAACAACCUAUGAAG